UUAUGAUUGAGACUCAGGUCUGUCUGACUCCAGCUGUUAACCACUAUGUUCUAAGCUCUACUAUGGUCAAGAGAGUGUACUGGGAAAGUACUAAUCUCCUAUAAUGCAUGGUGGAAAGUGAUAAGAAAACAAUGAAUUCAGGGAUGGAGAAUUCACCUUUCAGAAGGCUGCCUGGAGGAUGUGGCAGUUGAAGUAGGCUGUGGAAAAGGGGUAAGAUGGGGCUAUACUGCACCAAAAGAAUAAGAAUAGAGAGGAAAGAGGCGAGUGUUCCAGGUGAGAGGCAGGCCAGCAACAAAAAUGAAGAGGUGGCAAACACAAGGCAGUUUUUGGAAAAGUUAAAUGGCCAGUUUGAUGGGACAGAAAGAGUAUGUGUGGAAGUAGAGAAAAUGCUGAAAAAAAUACAAUGCAGAUUUAAAUAGUAUGAGUAAUAAUUAUAGCUCAUAUUUGCCAGGCACCUAAAAUGUGCCAGGCACUGUCCUUGGGGCUUUGAAUUUAUUAUCUCACUGAAAAAUUUCUAACUAGACUGUGAGAUUGAUAUUAUCCCCACCCUCAUUUUACAGAUAGAUCUAUCUGUAAAAUGAGUUAUCAAUUUAUCUGUAAAAUGGGGGUGGGAAUAACACCACUCUUGCAGUCUAGUUAUUUAGAGAAGUAACUUGUCUAGGGCCUUAUGAAGAUACUGGUGAAACUGAAACUCAAACACAAAUUUAUCUAAUGCUAAAAUUCUUAUUCAUGAAACCAUAUGGUCACCCAGUAAACAUUACUGUUGAUGCCAAAUAAACUCUGCUUUAGAGCCACAGUUUUGAUCCACUGGUCUUAUUUUUUUUCUCCUCUGAUUUAUACAUGUCUGACAUACGUUGUCAUUUCUCUGCAAACUUUCAGAGAACUAGGAGGGAAUAGUAGGCUCUAAUUUCAUCCUAGUGGAGAAAAAAAAAAAAGAAAUGGAAAAUGAGUUUAAUUACUCUCUGCGAAAAAGCUGUCUCUUCUCCCCA
rnacentral:lncRNA from 1 species